rnacentral:rRNA from 1 species
UAGGGAAUCUUCCACAAUGGACGCAAGUCUGAUGGAGCAACGCCGCGUGAGUGAAGAAGGUUUUCGGAUCGUAAAGCUCUGUUGUUGGUGAAGAAGGAUAGAGGUAGUAACUGGCCUUUAUUUGACGGUAAUCAACCAGAAAGUCACGGCUAACUACGUGCCAGCAGCCGCGGUAAUACGUAGGUGGCAAGCGUUGUCCGGAUUUAUUGGGCGUAAAGCGAGCGCAGGCGGAAGAAUAAGUCUGAUGUGAAAGCCCUCGGCUUAACCGAGGAACUGCAUCGGAAACUGUUUUUCUUGAGUGCAGAAGAGGAGAGUGGAAUUCCAUGUGUAGCGGUGGAAUGCGUAGAUAUAUGGAAGAACACCAGUGGCGAAGGCGACUCUCUGGGCUGCAACUGACGCUGAGGCUCGAAAGCAUGGGUAGCGAACAGG